AGUCUUCCUUAACCACAAAACCAAGUGAAAGCUCUCAACCCAAAGUGGGCAAAAGCAAUCGAAAGUUUGGAUGAUGGAGUCCCAGAAUCGAAUAAGAGCUUUGGCAUGAAGCAAAGGCCAGAUGGUGAUAUUGAAAUCGAUGAAAAAUAUUGGAAGCAUGAUUUCUGUAUUCCAACCUGCCAAAAGUGCAACAGAGUGCUCAAACCUGAUGAAAGGGGAAGGCCUUUAAUAACACUAGAGUGAAGCGGUCGAUUAAGGUGCCCACGAUUAGUAACAAGCUAGUAGAUAUGAUGAUUAUUCAUGGAGGAAAUAUGGCCAAAAGCCAAUCAAGGCUUCUCCACACCC